GUCUUCGUAGCUCAGCUGGCAGAGCAACUGACUCUUAAUCAGUGGGUCCACGGUUCGAACCCGUGCGAGGACACCA
rnacentral:tRNA from 1 species